CCACCUUAAGACUGUUUGGUUUAUCUAUUCUAUAUUAUUACAAAAGCUUAAGACUUAACCAUUACUUUGAUACCCUAAGUCACUGAGAAAAAUAUCACCGUAGAAACAGAAGUUCAAAAGAAUAUGCUGGGUUCUUAAAGUGCUAAGAAUUCCCAUGUGAUCACCCUCAAGUAGAUCAUCAAAGAGGAAAUUGCACUAUAUAAGAGGUGGAUGGAUCAGCAACUCUUAUAUUUGUCUACCGUAUCCAAG
rnacentral:lncRNA from 1 species